CCUACGGGAGGCAGCAGUGAGGAAUAUUGGUCAAUGGACGAGAGUCUGAACCAGCCAAGUAGCGUGAAGGAUGACUGCCCUAUGGGUUGUAAACUUCUUUUAUAUGGGAAUAAAAUGUUCCACGUGUGGGAUUUUGUAUGUACCAUAUGAAUAAGGAUCGGCUAACUCCGUGCCAGCAGCCGCGGUAAUACGGAGGAUCCGAGCGUUAUCCGGAUUUAUUGGGUUUAAAGGGAGCGUAGGUGGAUUGUUAAGUCAGCGGUCAAAUUGCGGGGCUCAACCCCGUACUGCCGUUGAAACUGCAUGCCUUGAGUGCGCGAGAGGUAUGCGGAAUGCGUGGUGUAGCGGUGAAAUGCAUAGAUAUCACGCAGAACUCCGAUUGCGAAGGCAGCAUACCGGCGCGCAACUGACGCUCAGGCACGAAAGCGUGGGUAUCGAACAGGAUUAGAUACCCUGGUAGUC
rnacentral:rRNA from 1 species